CAGUAGCCACGGUAAUACGAGGGGGGCAAGCGUUGUUCGGAAUUAUUGGGCGUAAAGGGUGCGUAGGCGGUUUGGCAAGUUUGGUGUGAAAUCUUCGGGCUCAACUCGAAGUCUGCAUCGAAAACUGCCGGGCUUGAGUAUGGGAGAGGUGAGUGGAAUUUCCGGUGUAGCGGUGAAAUGCGUAGAUAUCGGAAGGAACACCUGUGGCGAAAGCGGCUCACUGGACCAUAACUGACGCUGAUGCACGAAAGCUAGGGGAGCAAACAGGAUUAGAUACCCGUGUAGUCCCUGUCUCUUAUAC
rnacentral:rRNA from 1 species